AUGUACGUGGGGCUGGCGCUGGUGCUCCUCGCAUACCUCCCCGUCGCCUUCCUCUGCCGCCUCGUCUACAGGCUGCUGAUCAGGCCCUUCGCCGCCGGCGAGGACCUCCGCGGCAAGGUCGUGCUCAUCACCGGCGCCUCCUCCGGCAUCGGCGAGCACCUGGCGUACGAGUACGCGAGGAAAGGCGCGUGCGUGGCGCUGGUGGCCCGGACGGAGAUCGCGCUGCGCGCCGUGGCCAAGACGGCGCGGGAGCUGGGCGCGCCGGACACGCUGGUGGUGCCGGCGGACAUCACCGACGUGGACGAGGCCAAGCGGGCCGUCGAGGAGACCCUCGCCCACUUCGGCAAAUUGAAUCACCUGGUGGCCAACGCGGGCGUGUGGUCCAGCUGCUUCUUCGAGGAGAUCACCAACGUGUCCGCCUUCCAGAACGUCAUGGAUCUCAACUUCUGGGGCGCGGUGUACCCGACCUACUUCGCGCUGCCCUACCUGAAGGCCAGCCGCGGCAACAUCGUGGUCACCGCCUCCGUGGCCGGCAGGGUCCCCGUGGCGCGGAUGAGCUUCUACAACGCGAGCAAGGCCGCGGUGAUCCGGUUCUACGAGACGCUGCGGGCGGAGCUGGGGCCGCACGUCCGCGUCACCAUCCUCAUGCCGGGCUACGUCGUCUCCAACCUCACCAUGGGCAAGGGCGUGCAGAAGGACGGCAACGUCGGCUUCGACGAGGACGCCCGCGACAUAAACGUCGGGCCGCUGCCGGUGGGGAGGACGGAGACGCUGGCGGAGGUGGUGGUGGCGAGCGUGCGGCGGGGCGACAGCUACGUGACGUGGCCCGGGUGGUACUGGCCGUUCCACAUGGUGAUGUGCGCCGCGCCGGAGCUCGUCGACUGCUUCUCCAGGGCCUUCUACGUCUCCAAGUCCAGCGACAAGGACGGCGACGCGCUCAGCAAGAAGAUCCUCAUGGCCGUCGGCGGCGACAAGUUCUACCCCAAGAACAUCCGCUCCUCCCAGCCCCAAUAA
rnacentral:rRNA from 1 species